GGGAAUGUAGCUUAGUGGUAGAGUGCUUGCCUAGCAGGCAUGAAGCCCUGGGUUCAAUUCCUCAGUACCA
rnacentral:tRNA from 1 species